rnacentral:lncRNA from 1 species
AAGCCCGAUUGUAGGACUUCGGGAAUUGCAAUCUAAAAACAGGAAUGUUUCCAAGCUCUGGUAAUAUUUUGGACUCUCUCACAAGGAGCAUCGUUUAAGGGCAUGCCUAUAUGAGUCUGUUAUCCUGGGACUGUUUGGAGUGUCAGUACAUGUCCCAUCUUUGGAGGAGGGUUGGAGUCAAGACUGAGCUCUAGAUUAUCACUCUUACCUAUAUUGUAUUCUUGUCAUAUUAUCUCCUCUUUAAGUCACACAGAUGCAAUGUUUACAACAGCAAAGGUGCAUAAGGAUUACCAGAAGCUCUUUGGAGUGACAACACAACACAGGAAUUCUGCUGAGGUGGAACCAGACUGACACUCUUUGCUGCCUGAGGCAAAGAACAAGUAGCUCUUUCUCAUCUAUGUAUAUAAGUUGACCAGACUGACAGAUGGAUUUUACUUCAACUCUGAUCAUCCAGAUCUGUUUCCUAGCAUUUUACUGCUGCUUCUCAGCUGCAGCAUUUGUUGCCUGAAGUGCCUACCUCACUCUCUCUAAGCAUUGGCCUUGACCUUAGGAUCCACUUUUGCAAUGAAAUGUAUCUAUCAACCAUAUCACACCAGAGCUUUAAAGCAGGUAGCCCCACAUUUCUGCCACCUGCAGAAUUCUGGGAAAUGUAGUUUGAGAAGAGGAGGACUUAUGUAGCGGAGAAUUCAAAAGGCAUCCCUAAAUUACAUUUCCCAGAAUUCUGCAGGUAUUUUAACAAUUUUGUGCAAGAAGUAAAGUUUGUACACAAUGAACUGUCAAUAUCUCAGCCACCUUUGUGAUCUAUUUUGUAUUUUGGAUAAUUUUGGAUUUUGAAAUUCUGGAAAAUGGAUGGCCAGCCUGUGUUGGACUAAGACAGGUUCUAUCUUAUUAUAACCAUUUCAUUAUUAGCUUUCCCUUUUCCUGAUUCUUUAUAUGUAUCAGCUGGAGUAAUACACUCACACUCAUACACAGAAAAAGAGUGAAUAAGGGUUCCUAUACCUUUACCAGUUGUAUAGAAGAGAGAAUUUCAUAUUAUGUUGCUUGUCAUGGUAUUUGUUCUGUAAUCUCUAAUAGGAAGAGAGAAAGGCAACUUCUUAUUUCUGGGAUAAACUUUGUGUAUUUUUAUUUUGUA